UAUCUCUGUAGAGUCUGCAUAUCAAUAAGCGGAGGAAAAGAAACUAACAAGGAUUCCCUUAGUAACGGCGAGUGAAGCGGGAAGAGCUCAAAUUUGAAAUCUUCAAGGUUUGACCUUGACGAAUUGUAGUUUAAAGAAGUGUUUUCGGUUAGAGGAGUAGUAAAAGUUCUUUGGAAUAGGACAUCAUAGAGGGUGAGAAUCCCGUAUUUGACUAUUCUUUCUAGCUUUGUGAUACACUUUCAAAGAGUCGGAUUGUUUGGGAAUGCAGUCCAAAAUGGGUGGUAAAUUUCAUCUAAAGCUAAAUAUUGGCGAGAGACCGAUAGCGAACAAGUACCGUGAGGGAAAGAUGAAAAGAACUUUGAAAAGAGAGUUAAACAGUACGUGAAAUUGUCAAAAGGGAAGCGUUUGACACCAGUGUUGUUUUUCCGAAAAUCAAUUAAAAAUUGAUUCAUGCCAGGUUGUAUUGACCUUAUCAGCUUGCAAUUUGGUUUUGGGUCUCUUUUUGAUGCACUUUUCGGUUAACAAGUCAACAUCAAUUUCCUUUGCUGUAAAAAGGUAAGAGGAAGGUGGCUUCAAUUUCGGUUGAAGUGUUUAUAGCCUUUUAUCUCUGCAGUCGGGGAGAUUGAGGUCUGCAGCGUAGAUCCUUCGGGGCUAGAUACAUUUAUGCUAAGUUAUAGCUUUUCAUAGACAACUUGUUGACUAUGUUUAGUCAUGUAGCUUACUCGUAAGUGCUGUUUUACCUACGCUUAGGAUGUUGAAGACUCUACAGAGAUA
rnacentral:rRNA from 1 species